rnacentral:rRNA from 1 species
CGCUAGCUACAGGCUUAACACAUGCAAGUCGAGGGGCAGCAUGAAGUUUGCUUGCAAACUUUGAUGGCGACCGGCGCACGGGUGGGUAACACGUAUCCAACCUGCCGAUAACUCGGGGAUAGCCUUUCGAAAGAAAGAUUAAUACCCGAUGGCAUGGAAAGUCCGCAUGGUCUUUCCAUUAAAGAACUUCGGUUAUCGAUGGGGAUGCGUCCCAUUAGAUAGUAGGCGGGGUAACGGCCCACCUAGUCAACGAUGGAUAGGGGUUCUGAGAGGAAGGUCCCCCACAUUGGAACUGAGACACGGUCCAAACUCCUACGGGAGGCGGCAGUGAGGAAUAUUGGUCAAUGGACGAGAGUCUGAACCAGCCAAGUAGCGUGAAGGAUGACUGCCCUAUGGGUUGUAAACUUCUUUUAUACGGGAAUAAAGUGUUCCACGUGUGGAAUUUUGUAUGUACCGUAUGAAUAAGGAUCGGCUAACUCCGUGCCAGCAGCCGCGGUAAUACGGAGGAUCCGAGCGUUAUCCGGAUUUAUUGGGUUUAAAGGGAGCGUAGGUGGAAGAUUAAGUCAGCCUGUGAAAGUUUGCGGCUCAACCGUAAAAUUGCAGUUGAUACUGGUUUUCUUGAGUGCAGUAGAGGUGGGCGGAAUUCGUGGUGUAGCGGUGAAAUGCUUAGAUAUCACGAAAAAGUCCGAUUG